GGCGGGAGUUCGGGAUCGGCCAUGUGCACCUGAGAGAGGUUUGUAAAUGGGGUCACUUGAAAUGCUGCGGCGCAGGGGAGCUGGAAAUCUCGAACAGGCCCUCCCUCCUGGGUGUGUGCCAAGGCACCAGAAAGGUGCUUGGGUGUGUUUUGCUUCUGUGUUUCCGUGGAUGGGACAGGUCUGGCACCAGAGCGACCUUAGCCGCCCAGCUGGAGGGUUUGGGUGGGAGGGGCCCUGUUGGGGCCACUUGAGGCAGAAUUUCUGUUUUUGGCCAUGCACCUGAGGUGCCUGCAGGAUAUGCUCAGUUUUGACUUGGCUGGGCGUUCUGUCAGGGGUGUGACCCAGGAGACCCUAACAGCUGAUGCAGAUAGCAGUUCUGUCCAGCUAGCCUUGCCAGGCUAGGCUAGGCUGUGGAGAGGGUGGGCUGAAUAGUCCAUUUCUGAACUACAGUGAGUCACCCACUCCAGGGCCUUGAGUCAGUGCUCCUUCUCUCUCUGAGUGGGGAAAGUAUGUCAGAAGAAAUUGAAGAAACAAGGAAGCAGCCUUAGGUUUUAGGGACUUUGAGGUAUGCAGGAGUAAAGAGCUGGGGGAUACAGAGCUGUUGCUCAUAUCAGGUCUCCAGUAAUUGUAAGUUUAUCCUGUCUAAUAAUGACAUCCUUUUUUUUUUUCCUUUAAUGCUGGAGUUUUUUAACCUGGGGCCUUGAGCAUGCUAGGCAAGUGCUCUACUACCUCCCCAGCCUUAAAAACAUUUUUUUGAGACAGGGUCUUCUAAGUUGUGCAGGCUGGCCUUGAAUUUGAAAUUCUGCUUCAGCCUCCCCCCUGAGUAGCAGGACUACAGGCAUGUGCCACUGUGACUGUUGAAAGCUGACUUUUAAUGGGACCUGUUUUUAAAGCAUUUUACAUUUAGAGUAAGCAGACUUGGUGAUUCAGACAUUUGACCUACCCCAUGCAGUAAGUAGGUGCUCUGGCAUGUGGUUGAAUGUGUGCUUCCUUACCAGUGCCUUUAGUGCCCUGAGUCGCACUGUUCCUUGACCUGGGCAACUGAUAGCAGCAGACUGAAUGCCCAUCAGCUUGUGUUUCACUGGUGUCUGUGCCAAGCAAAGCCACUGCUCUCUGCUUAGGCAUGAACCCAAAAGUAUGUGCUCUGUUAUAAGAGGCUUCCUCUGAGUAAGAGUGGGCCUUGUGACAUCUACUGUGGCUUCAACAGAUGCUUUUUUGCUCCUUUUUGGCUUUUUUCUGAGCUGUCUGCAGUGAAGUUCAGGGAAAGCCGAUUCUGAAUGGGUGCUUUUACCCCAUGUCUUACAGCAUUCUUUCCUAGCAGAGUUUUUCACCCUGUUUAUUCAAGGCAGGAUUAUUUUGUCUCUCCACACUCUGUGGGGGGGGGGGUUUUUUUUUUUUUUUUUUUUUUUUUUUUGCAAGAGAAGUUUGUAUUAAUGGUGUUUGGUGACAGUCUUAUCUUUGAGCAGUAAUUUUUUGUAACAGUUUUAAUGAAAUAUAAUUUGCAUGCCAUACCCUCACCCAUUCAGAGUGUAUAAGUCAGUGGUUUUCAUUCUAUUCUGAGAGUUGUGUGGCCCUUAUCGCUAUGCACUUUGGAACUGUGUCAUUAAUUCAGCAAUCCUAGACUGGCUGCUCCUGUUGUCCCAGCUACUCAGGAGGAUGCAGGAUUGCUUGAGCCCAGCAGUUAGAGGCCAACCUGUGCAACACAGCCAGAAACUCUCUUUAUGUUUUUCAAAAGAAACCCUGUACCCCAGCCAUCAUUUCCCAGUCUCCCCUUCCUCUAGCCUGGGGCAACCAUUAUUGUACUUUUUGUCUCUGCAGGUUUGCCAACUCUAGAUGUUUCAUAUAAAUGGAAUCAUAUUACUGUAUGUGGUCUUUUGUGUCUGGCUUCGUUCACAUUGUAGCAUGUAUUAUAACUUCAUUCCUUUUUGUGGAGGAAUGCUAUUCCACUUGGUAACUAUAUCACAUUUUAUACAUCUGUUUGUCUGUUGAUGGAUUUUGGAUUGUUUCCACUUCUUGGCUAUUAUGAAUAAUGAUGUUGUGAAUAUUCAUGUACAAGUCUUUAUAUGAACUUGUGCAUUUAUUUCUUUUGAGUGUAUACUUAGAAGAAGAAUCUCUAUGUCAUAUGGUAGCUGUUUAACCUUUCCAAGAACUGCCUGUUUUCCAUUUCCACCAGGACUGAAGAAGGGUUCUAAUUCUCUUAUUACUAUUUCUUUUUUUUUUUUUUGAUGCAGUGUUGGGGAUUAAACCCAUCCCAUCAGGGCCUCACAUAGCUAAGCGUAUUCUGUACCACUGAACUACAUCCCCAACCUCCCCCUGGGGCCCUGCCCCACUUUUUUUUUUUUUUUUUUUUUAAUAAGAUAGGAAUCUCUUUGUCUUGUCCAGGCCAGUAUUGAACUCCAAACUCACAUGAGCCUCCUGCCUGAGCAUUUGGAAUGCUGGACCUAGUGGGCUACUGUGCCCAGCUCCUUUAUCUGUUAUUAAAUGCGGAUGUGGAAAGCAUCAACAGCCUAUGCUGUGUCCAUCACCCAGGACGACAGAGGAGCUGACAACUGGGGGACCGACCCUGACUUUGUGAAUGAUGUGAGCAAAAAGGAACAGAGAUGGGGCUCCAAAACCCUGCAAGGGUCCAGGCACCAGGAACACAUCAACAUAUACAAGAUAAGAGAAAACGUCUUUCAAGAACAUCACACUCUCAAGGAGAAGGAACUUCAAACGGGACCAAAAGCCUCCCAUGGCUAUGGAGGGAAAUUCUGCGUAGAACAGUACAGCAUGGACAAAGUAUUUUAUCUCAGCAACAAGAAAAAUAACAAGAGUGGCCACUUGCCGAGCCUCACUGAUGUGCUGAACACUGCCCAAGUGGCCAGACCCAGCAUCUACCAGUCAGCUGUUGGCCAUGAAUAUCAGUUGAAACUUGCUAAGCACUGCUCUCAAGUCGAUUCGGUCCGGGGUUUUGGAGGCAAGUUUGGUGUCCAGAUGGACAGAGUUGACCAGACUAUUCCAAAGGAUUCAGUGUCAAGGAGAGGGUGCAGAAAGAUCAGAUGGAUAAAGUAAGGCUGUCCAGCUCCAGAUGUGGAACUUUCUGCCCGCAGGCCCAGGGAUUCCUGCAGCCCCCACUCUGUGUCAGUUGCUGUUUGUAGCUACCAUCAGAGUGCGUCGACCUUUGAAGGUGUGGCACAGGUAUCGUCUGCCUACUAGAAGACUGUCCCUGUUCAAGCUGGAGCAAGCCAGAGCCAAAAAGGAAACACCCCCUGAGUCCCCCACUCCUCAUUCAGCUGAGGAGAGGCAGCCUUCCAGCCCCAUCUAUGAGAAGAGAACACCUAUGACGAGUAUGAGAACGACCUGGGCAUCACAGCCAUCGCACUUUAGGACUACCAGGCUGGUGAGGCGCCUGAGCAACUUCCUGCCCUUUGUUCCUGCCAACUCAGCCCCUAAGAAUCUGACUUUUCCAGUGAUGCUGCAGUUUCUAUUUUGAAAUAGUUUCAGUUACAGAAAAACUCCCAGUACAGUGACAAGGACUCUCAUGUCUCAACCAGGUCCUAAUUUUCUGCAUGUGUGCAUGUACAAACUCAUGCACUUAACCACUUCAAUUACAUUUAUUCUCAGAUCCAUCGGGGACCUGCAAGGUCCCCAUUGCCCCUAAAAACCCCAUUUGAUGUGAUGGCACGUACCUGCAAUCCUGGCUAUUUGGGAGACCAAAACAGGGGAAUGCAAAUUUGAACCCUGUCUGGGUGAAUUAGCAAAACCCUGUCUCCAAAGAAAUAGAUGUGUUGGGGAUGUAGCUCUGUGAAACGCCUGCAGGUGGCCCCCAUUCCCUCCCUAGUAUUACAAAAAUACAGAAAACAAAACUCGAAAACUGCACUGUGCAUGUCUAGGACAUCCAGGGUCUCAUAUGAGUACUUCCAGCACUCUCCACCCUCUGGGAGGUCACUUGUGCACAUGACACACCCCUCGGCGUUGGUCCUGUUUGGCCCUGUUCCUGGGCCGUGUCCUUCCACAGUUGGCCAGGGCCCAGCAGAGUUGGUGCUCGCAUGGUAGGAAGGCCACAGAUACAAUUCGGUGCCUCCCUGUGCUGAGUUGUCUUUUUUGUGGUACCCAGGAUUGAACUCCUGACCUUGUACUUGCCAAGCAGGUGUUUACACCACUGAGAUAAAUCCCUGCCCUACCCUGUAUGUUAUUUCUGUGGCAUUGGUCACUAUCACCUGCCAAUCCACACCACUCCAGUAGCAGUUGAUGACUGAGAGGCGCUAUGGUGAGCCCCCCAGGUCCUGUCUUCUCUCAGCCUCACUUGGCCUUCCCUGACAGUAGCUUCCCAGUUCCUCCUCCCCGCUGAGUGGGGGCGGUCAAAGGCAGAGCGUGGCCUUUCUGCACCUGCUAUUAUUUAUUCCCCUAUCUAUACAUUUCUCUUGCUUUUUUUUCUUUUGAGGCAGGGUCUCUAUUCAAGUGAUAAAACCUUUUUAUCACCUGAAAUAGAGUUGAUGCUGGCUUUAAACUCACUAUGUAGCCCUUGAACUUGUGCCAUGUGAUCCUCCUGUGUAAGCCUCCCGACUGCUAGGAUUACAAAUGUGCACCACCAUGCCCAGCAGCACACAUGUUUCUAUUUAUUCUUCAAUGGGUUCUCUGAUAUUUUGGCAUCUGUACAUAUGUUUGAGUUCAUCCCGUGACCUGUGUUCCAGCCCGUCACCUGGGCUUCUUUCUAGACCCCUUCCUGUGUUCAGAACCACCCACCCUGACCACCCCUCCUACAUGUCCUCGUCCCCCUGUGCCCUGUCAGUGGUGGCACCCUUUCCUCACUCCCCCAGUGAAGGUGGGAAGGAAGGCGAGUUCCCACCCAUCCUGGCCAUUUCUCAAAAACAGUGUCUGGCCAGGGUGGAUGUUUUUGGAAGACGCCGCUCACAUUUGUGCAUCCCAGCCUUACACGGGCUGUGGCUGCCUCCUUCUUCUUGCUGCAUGCUCCUCCCAGCCCCCCUGGAAAUGUUUUCCAUUUGUGUCUCUCUCUUUGCUUUUU